rnacentral:rRNA from 1 species
GACGAACGCUGGCGGCGUGCUUAACACAUGCAAGUCGAACGGAAAGGCCCUGCUUUUGUGGGGUGCUCGAGUGGCGAACGGGUGAGUAACACGUGAGUAACCUGCCCUUGACUUUGGGAUAACUUCAGGAAACUGGGGCUAAUACCGGAUAGGAGCUCCUGCUGCAUGGUGGGGGUUGGAAAGUUUCGGCGGUUGGGGAUGGACUCGCGGCUUAUCAGCUUGUUGGUGGGGUAGUGGCUUACCAAGGCUUUGACGGGUAGCCGGCCUGAGAGGGUGACCGGGCCCACGUGGGCUCGGAGACGGCGCCGACUCUCCCGGGGGGGACCGGUGGGGAAAAUUUUGCACAGGGGGGAGGACUGCGACGCCGACGCCCCGCGCGGGGGAUGGGGCUUCGGGUUUUAAAAACCGUUCGCCCGUGAGCCAACGUGUGUGACCGGAAUAGGGAAAGAAACACCCGGUCACUCCGC